rnacentral:rRNA from 1 species
UACGUAGGGUGCAAGCGUUAAUCGGAAUUACUGGGCGUAAAGCGUGCGCAGGCGGUUGUGCAAGACAGAUGUGAAAUCCCCGGGCUCAACCUGGGAAUUGCAUUUGUGACUGCACGGCUAGAGUGUGUCAGAGGGGGGUAGAAUUCCACUGUGUAGCAGUGAAAUGCGUAGAGAUGUGGAGGAAUACCGAUGGCGAAGGCAGCCCCCUGGGAUAACACUGACGCUCAGGCACGAAAGCGUGGGGAGCAAACAGG